GCGGCAGUAGCGCGGUGGUCCCACCUGACCCCAUGCCGAACUCAGAAGUGAAACGCCGUAGCGCCGAUGGUAGUGUGGGGUCUCCCCAUGCGAGAGUAGGGAACUGCCA
rnacentral:rRNA from 1 species